rnacentral:rRNA from 1 species
CCCUUAGAUGUUCUGGGCCGCACGCGCGCUACACUGACGAAUGCAACGAGCUUAUAACCUUGGCCGAAAGGUCUGGGUAAUCUCCAAAUUUCGUCGUGAUGGGGAUAGAUUAUUGCAAUUAUUAAUCUUCAACGAGGAAUGCCUAGUAAGCGCAAGUCAUCAGCUUGCGUUGAUUACGUCCCUGCCCUUUGUACACACCGCCCGUCGCUACUACCGAUUGAAUGGUUUAGUGAGGACUCCUGAUUGGCGCCGCCGCCCCGGCAACGGAGCAGCGGACUGCCGAAAAGUUGUUCAAACUUGAUCAUUUAGAGGAAGUAAAAGUCGUAACA